GUAGGUGGCAAGCGUUGUCCGGAAUUAUUGGGCGUAAAGCGCGCGCAGGCGGUUCGUUUAAGUCUGAUGUGAAAGCCCACGGGCUCAACCGUGGAGGGUCAUUGGAAACUGGAGAACUUGAGUACAGAAGAGGAAAGCGGAAUUCCACGUGUAGCGGUGAAAUGCGUAGAGAUGUGGAGGAACACCAGUGGCGAAGGCGGCUUUCUGGUCUGUAACUGACGCUGAGGCGCGAAAGCGUGGGGAGCAAACAGGAUUAGAUACCCUGGUAGUCCACGCCGUAAACGAUGAGUGCUAAGUGUUAGGGGGUUUCCGCCCCUUAGUGCUGCGGCUAACGCAUUAAGCACUCCGCCUGGGGAGUACGGCCGCAAAGGCUG
rnacentral:rRNA from 1 species